GUUCAGUUUUACCUGGAAAAAACUUUAUUUUCAGUAUUUAGAUGCUUGUUCAGAGUGCAGGAGGUUUUUGUACGGCCACUCAAUGAGUUUGUAUCACUGUGGUGGACUUUUGGUGGAGGAACCAAACUCAUCAUUCAUUCUGGCCCCAUGGUCAGACCCUCAGUCUCUCUGCUUCAACCCUCCUCUAAGCAGCUCUCUGGGGGCUCAGCCACGCUGGCCUGCCUCCUGACCAGCUACUCUCCUCAGGGAGCUGAGGUGAUAUGGGAGGUGGAUGGCACACAGGUGACAGAGGGAAUCCUGAUCAGCUCAGAGGAGGAGAAGAGUGGACGCUACAGCAGCAGCAGCACCCUGACACUGAGCCAGGAGAGCUGGAUGAAUGGAGAUCUGUACUCCUGCAAGGUCAUCCAUCAUGAGCACACACAGUCCCAGUCCCUCCGUAGGAGCCAGUGUGCAGGGUAGAAGGGCUGCUGAAUCUCAGGACAGGAGCUUAGUGUGAGAGAGCAGUAGGUGCAUCCCUGCUGCUCUAAUCAAUCAGUUUUAUACUUAGAGAGGAAACUAGAGCUUUCUGUGUGAGAGAAUAACACUGCUGUAAAGUGUUUAUAACAACAACAUGAGUAGAUUUGAAGCUAGAUGUGGGUAUGCUUAUUAAUGAUUGAUGUUUGAUUGAUGUUUGUUUCAAUAAA